rnacentral:rRNA from 1 species
UACGUAGGUGGCAAGCGUUGUCCGGAUUUACUGGGCGUAAAGAGCGCGCAGGCGGUCGUUCAAGUCGCGUGUGAAAGCCCCCGGCUCAACUGGGGAGGGUCACGCGAUACUGAUCGACUCGAAGGCAGGAGAGGGUAGUGGAAUUCCCGGUGUAGUGGUGAAAUGCGUAGAGAUCGGGAGGAACACCAGAGGCGAAGGCGGCGACCUGGACAAGUACUGACACUCAACUACGAAAGCGUGGGGAGCAAACAGG